GGUGAGCGCGGCUAUCUGCAGUAGAAGCUGAGGUUUGGUGUUUACACUAGACUGAUGAGUUGCGAACGGGUGAGUAACGCGUAGGUAACCUGCCUCAUAGCGGGGGAUAACUAUUGGAAACGAUAGCUAAUACCGCAUAAGAGUAAUUAACACAUGUUAGUUAUUUAAAAGGAGCAAUUGCUUCACUGUGAGAUGGACCUGCGUUGUAUUAGCUAGUUGGUGAGGUAAAGGCUCACCAAGGCGACGAUACAAAGCCGACCUGAGAGGGUGAUCGGCCACACUGGGACUGAGACACGGCCCAGACUCCUACGGGAGGCAGCAGUAGGGAAUCUUCGGCAAUGGACGGAAGUCUGACCGAGCAACGCCGCGUGAGUGAAGAAGGUUUUCGGAUCGUAAAGCUCUGUUGUUAGAGAAGAACGUUGGUAGGAGUGGAAAAUCUACCAAGUGACGGUAACUAACCAGAAAGGGACGGCUAACUACGUGCCAGCAGCCGCGGUAAUACGUAGGUCCCGAGCGUUGUCCGGAUUUAUUGGGCGUAAAGCGAGCGCAGGCGGUUCUUUAAGUCUGAAGUUAAAGGCAGUGGCUUAACCAUUGUACGCUUUGGAAACUGGAGGACUUGAGUGCAGAAGGGGAGAGUGGAAUUCCAUGUGUAGCGGUGAAAUGCGUAGAUAUAUGGAGGAACACCGGUGGCGAAAGCGGCUCUCUGGUCUGUAACUGACGCUGAGGCUCGAAAGCGUGGGGAGCAAACAGGAUUAGAUACCCUGGUAGUCCACGCCGUAAACGAUGAGUGCUAGGUGUUAGGCCCUUUCCGGGGCUUAGUGCCGCAGCUAACGCAUUAAGCACUCCGCCUGGGGAGUACGACCGCAAGGUUGAAACUCAAGGAAAUGACGGGGGCCCGCACAAGCGUGGAACAUGUGGUUUAAUCGAAGCACGCGAAGAACUUACAGG
rnacentral:rRNA from 1 species